UGGCGACGGGUGAGUAACGCGUGGGGAACCUGCCUUGCACCGGGGGAUAACACUUAGAAAUAGGUGCUAAUACCGCAUAAGCGCACAGAGCCGCAUGGCUCAGUGUGAAAAACUCCGGUGGUGCAAGAUGGACCCGCGUCUGAUUAGCUGGUUGGCGGGGUAACGGCCCACCAAGGCGACGAUCAGUAGCCGGCCUGAGAGGGUGAACGGCCACAUUGGGACUGAGACACGGCCCAAACUCCUACGGGAGGCAGCAG
rnacentral:rRNA from 1 species